rnacentral:rRNA from 1 species
UACGGAGGGUGCAAGCGUUGUUCGGAAUUAUUGGGCGUAAAGCGCGUGCAGGCGGCCUAUUAAGUCAGGUGUGAAAGCCCUUAGCUCAACUAAGGAAUGUCAUCUGAAACUAAUAGACUUGAGUACGGGAGAGGAGAGUGGAAUUCCCGGUGUAGAGGUGAAAUUCGUAGAUAUCGGGAGGAACACCCGUGGCGAAGGCGACUCUCUGGACCGAUACUGACGCUGAGACGCGAAAGCGUGGGGAGCAAACAGGAUUAGAUACCCGCGUA